CAGCAGCCACGGUAAUACGGAGGGCGCGAGCGUUACCCGGAUUUACUGGGCGUAAAGUGUGCGUAGGCGGUGAGUUAAGUCUGCUGUGAAAGCCCUGGGCUCAACCUGGGAAUUGCAGUGGAUACUGGGUCACUAGAGUGUGGUAGAGGACAGUGGAAUUUCCGGUGUAGCAGUGAAAUGCGUAGAGAUCGGAAGGAACAUCUGUGGCGAAGGCGACUAUCUGGGCCAACACUGACACUGAGGCACGAAAGCGUGGGGAGCAAACAGGAUUAGAUACCCCUGUAGUCCCUGUCUCUUAUAC
rnacentral:rRNA from 1 species